rnacentral:rRNA from 1 species
AUUGAACGCUGGCGGCAGGCUUAACACAUGCAAGUCGAGCGGUAACAGAGAGAAGCUUGCUUUUCUGCUGACGAGCGGCGGACGGGUGAGUAAUGCCUAGGAAUCUGCCUAGUAGUGAGGGAUAACUUGCCGAAAGGUAAGCUAAUACCGCAUACGUCCUACGGGAGAAAGGAGGGGACCUUCGGGCCUUUCGCUAUUAGAUGAGCCUAGGUCGGAUUAGUUAGUUGGUGAGGGAAUGGCUCACCAAGACCGCGAUCCGUAACUGGUCUGAGAGGAUGAUCAGUCACACUGGAACUGAGACACGGUCCAGACUCCUACGGGAGGCAGCAGUGGGGAAUAUUGGACAAUGGGGGGAACCCUGAUCCAGCCAUGCCGCGUGUGUGAUGAAGGUCUUAGGAUUGUAAAGCACUUUAAGUUGGGAGGAAGAGCAGUUAACUAAUAUUUGACUGUUUUGACGUUACCGACAGAAUAAGCACCGGCUAACUUCGUGCCAGCCGCCGCCGUAAAAC